GUGCCAGCAGCCGCGGUAAUACGUAGGGUGCGAGCGUUAAUCGGAAUUACUGGGCGUAAAGCGUGCGCAGGCGGUUAUAUAAGACAGUUGCGAAAUCCCCGGGCUUAACCUGGGAAUGGCGCUUGUGACUGCACGACUGGAGUGCGGCAGAGGGGGAUGGAAUUCCGCGUGUAGCAGUGAAAUGCGUAGAUAUGCGGAGGAACACCGAUGGCGAAGGCAGUCCCCUGGGCCUGCACUGACGCUCAUGCACGAAAGCGUGGGGAGCAAACAGGAUUAGAUAC
rnacentral:rRNA from 1 species